rnacentral:rRNA from 1 species
GACGAACGCUGGCGGCGUGCUUAACACAUGCAAGUCGAACGGAAAGGCCCUGCUUUUGUGGGGUGCCCGAGUGGCGAACGGGUGAGUAACACGUGAGUAACCUGCCCUUGACUUUGGGAUAACUUCAGGAAACUGGGGCUAAUACCGGAUAGGAGCUCCUGCUGCAUGGUGGGGGUUGGAAAGUUUCGGCGGUUGGGGAUGGACUCGCGGCUUAUCAGCUUGUUGGUGGGGUAGUGGCUUACCAAGGCUUUGACAGGUAGCCGGCCUGAGAGGGUGACCGGCCACAUUGGGACUGAGAUACGGCCCAGACUCCUACGGGAGGCAGCAGCGGGGAAUAUUGCACAAUGGGCGGAAGCCUGAUGCAGCAACGCCGCGUGCGGGAUGACGGCCUUCGGGUUGUAAACCGCUUUCGCCUGUGACGAAGCGUGAGUGACGGUAAUGGGUAAAGAAGCACCGGCUAACUACGUG